UACGUAGGUGGCGAGCGUUGUCCGGAUUUAUUGGGUUUAAAGGGUGCGUAGGCGGCCCUAUAAGUCAGUGGUGAAAUAUCGCAGCUUAACUGUGAGGGUGCCAUUGAUACUGUAGGGCUUGAGUGAAUUUGAGGUAGGCGGAAUUGACGGUGUAGCGGUGAAAUGCAUAGAUAUCGUCAAGAACACCGAUAGCGAAGGCAGCUUACUGGGCUGUAACUGACGCUGAUGCACGAAAGUGUGGGGAUCAAACAGG
rnacentral:rRNA from 1 species